rnacentral:rRNA from 1 species
GUGUUUAUUUUUACCUUUGUUGCUUUCCGGCGGGCCCGCCUUAACUUGGCCGCCGGGGGGCUUACGCCCCCGGGCCCGCGCCCGCCGAAGACACCCUCGAACUCUGUCUGAAGAUUGAAGUCUGAGUGAAAAUAUAAAUUAUUUAAAACUUUCAACAACGGAUCUCUUGGUUCCGGCAUCGAUGAAGAACGCAGCGAAAUGCGAUACGUAAUGUGAAUUGCAAAUUCAGUGAAUCAUCGAGUCUUUGAACGCACAUUGCGCCCCCUGGUAUUCCGGGGGGCAUGCCUGUCCGAGCGUCAUUGCUGCCCUCAAGCCCGGCUUGUGUGUUGGGCCCCGUCCCCCGAUCUCCGGGGGACGGGCCCGAAAGGCAGCGGCGGCACCGCGUCCGGUCCUCGAGCGUAUGGGGCUUUGUCACCCGCUCUGUAGGCCCGGCCGGCGCUUGCCGAUCAACCCAAAUUUUUAUCCAGGUUGACCUCGGAUCAGGUAGGGGAUACCCGCUGAACUUAAGCAUAUCAA